rnacentral:lncRNA from 1 species
GUUGGGAAUAAAAUAUUAAUUCCCACUUUACUCGGUCGUUGAACAAAAUGAAAAAUAACACAAGCAAUCGGAACACCAAAAUUUACGUGGAAAACCCUCCCAAAUUUAGAGGGAAAAACCACGGGCCAAACUCCGAGAAAUAUCCACUAUAAAAACAAUGGUACACCAAAAUCUCAAGUGACCAAGUUGAGAAAUACAAAAAAAAAUAGAGACGAUACAAGAACACCCUUUGGGACAAAUAUUGUACCCAAAGAAACCUCACAAACACUCUUGUAUAAUAUACACUCUAAUUUUUGGACACUAACUACCACUCACCAAAUUGUGAGUAACUCUCAAAAUUCUCUCUCGGAUAUAACACAAAAGGAAUUGUGUUGGUGUUAUUUUAGCUUGCUCCCAAAUGGCCUUUAUAUAGGCAAAGAAUGUGUUUGGUGAAAAACAAGGUUGGUGGGCUUGGUAACCUAUCAAUUUGAACAAAUGAGUUGGCCAGCAUAUGUGAGGAAAAUCAAAGUCAAUAUUAAACACCAACCAUUUUUUGACAAAACAAAGCCUCUGCCGAACAAGCCAAAUAAAUCUCCUGUGCACCUGUUGAAUAAAGAAAUCGGUGCAAGUGGGAUAGAAAAAAUCCGGUGGAAUUGCGGCUGCACCUUUUCACAUGGUUGAGAGAUUAUUCAACAAUCUCCCCUCUCUCACCCAUGUUAAUAUGACUCCAUUACUUGGAGCGUAUACCUGCAACGCUUCUACAGAACUCAAAUUUCUCCCGAGUCACCACUUUCGUCAGCAUGUCUGACGGGUUCUCAUCGGUAUGAAUCUUGAAUUGUGGCUGCACCUUUUCACAUGGUUGAGAGAUUAUUCAACAAUCUCCCCCUCUCUUACUCAUGUUAAUAUGACUCCAUUACUUGGAGCGUAUACCUGCAACGUUUCUACAGAACUCAAAUUNNN